GAUCAUGGCUCAGGAUGAACGCUAGCUACAGGCUUAACACAUGCAAGUCGAGGGGCAGCAUGAACUUAGCUUGCUAAGUUUGAUGGCGACCGGCGCACGGGUGAGUAACACGCAUCUAACCUUCCGUUUACUCAGGGAUAGCCUUUCGAAAGAAAGAUUAAUACCUGAUAGUAUGGUGAGAUUGCAUGAUAGCACCAUUAAAGAUUUAUUGGUAAACGAUGGGGAUGCGUU
rnacentral:rRNA from 1 species